ACGAACGCUGGCGGCAGGCCUAACACAUGCAAGUCGAGCGAGGACUUCGGUUCUAGCGGCGGACGGGUGAGUAACGCGUGGGAAUGUGCCCUUCUCUACGGAAUAGCCCUGGGAAACUGGGAGUAAUACCGUAUACGCCCUAUUGGGGAAAGAUUUAUCGGAGAAGGAUCAGCCCGCGUUGGAUUAGGUAGUUGGUGGGGUAAUGGCCUACCAAGCCGACGAUCCAUAGCUGGUUUGAGAGGAUGAUCAGCCACACUGAGACUGAGACACGGCCCAGACUCCUACGGGAGGCAGCAGUGGGGAAUCUUAGACAAUGGGGGCAACCCUGAUCUAGCCAUGCCGCGUGAGUGAUGAAGGCCUUAGGGUUGUAAAGCUCUUUCAGCUGGGAAGAUAAUGACGGUACCAGCAGAAGAAGCCCCGGCUAACUCCGUG
rnacentral:rRNA from 1 species